CCAUAACACCGGGAUAACUUUCGGAAACGAGUGCUAACACCGGAUACGCAAGAGGGUGGCAUCAUCCUCUUGGGAAACACGGUGCAAUCUGUGGCUUAUGGAUGGGCCUGCGGCGCUUUAUCUAUUUGGUGGGGUAACGGCCUACCAGGGCGACUAUGCGUACCCCACCUGAGAGGGUGAACGGCCACUCUGGGACUGACACACGGCCCACACUCCUACGGGAGGCAGCAAUAGGGAAUCUUCCACAGUGGGCGCAACCCUGAUGGAGCAACGCCGCGUGAGUGAAGAAGGCUUUCGGGUCAUAAAGCUCUGUUGCCGGGGAAAAAUAAGGGAGAUUUAUGUGCUCGUCCUAUGACGGUACCUGAAAAAAAAGCCCCGGCUAACUACGUGCCAGCCGCCGCGGUAAUACGUAGGGGGCACGCGUUGUCCGGAAUUAUUGGGCGUAAAGCGCGCGCACGCGUUUUCUUAUCUCUGGUGUCUAUGUGCGGCUCUCAACCCCGAGAUGCUGUGGACACUGAGACACUCGUGUGCAGAAGAGGAUAGCAGAACUCCACGUGUAGCCGUGAUUUGCAUACAGAUGUGGAAGACCCCCUGUGGCGAGGGGGGCUCUUCUAGA
rnacentral:rRNA from 1 species